UUCAUGCUAUUUUAAUGGAGUCUUUUAUUUAUUAGAGCCACAAAACAUACUAGGCCAAUACUAUUUUAAGUCCCGAUAAGCCCCGCAAUAUUUUGCCAGACAUUUUCUGCUCCAGUUUUGUUUCGUACAAACAUAUUUUUGCAACAUCAUGCCCCAAGUCUCCAGACCCCAACCCCAACCCCAACCCAAACCACAAAUUACAAAGUAAAAUGCAAAGAAAUCGACAUUCACCGUCUGUAAUUUCAAGUGUUUGGCAUUGACAAUUUUUCGUUCCGAUUUUCAGGCAUAUCCAUGCCCGUCCCAUUGUUGAGGAAAUUGUGAAAACGCCAGGGAAUUGGGCAAGCAAAUUUCGUUUGUAUUUACCUCGUCUUGGAGUACCUCGAAGAUGGAAAAGAUUUCGAGAGACAGUUAAUUAAACCGAAGUCAAGAUUGAGAGGGGAGGGGGGAGACCCCGGCCUCAGGUGAUUGCCAUUUUUGUGGGAUGGUUUUGAUUGGCGAGACAAACAAGCGGCGACAGUGAAAGACAGAAACAAACUUCAAAUGUCGCAAUUUUGGCGGCGCCUUAAAUGUGACACGAAAAGCGACUAAACUCGGAUGCGGUAAUUAUGAUUAAUUAACAUGUCUUUAAGUAUUGUUUGGCAAAUAUUUGGAUAUUUGUAUGCCUGCCAGUACCCGUUGGAAUCACUCGAAUGACUCACUGACCAACUGGGGAAUAUCGAAAUCGCUGCACUUGUCUCUCGCUUGGCUCUUAUCUUAUCGCCGACACAAGCGAAACAUGGCCAAAAUGAAGUGGAAAACUUAUCGCCCUUCCUCUGAUAAGGCCCAACAGAUAGCUGAUGGAAUGACAGACCGUAUGUACCAUAUGUACCAUAUGUACCAUACGCAUGUAUGUAGCUGUGCAACGGGAAUGAGGUAAGCAGUUGUAGAAAUGCACCGAAAUUCACUCACUUCCACGAGGUAGAUCCCAGAUUGUGUGGAGUCAAAAUUAUUAGGCCAUAAAUACUUGCGGCAAAAUGUGACGCCCACUGCGCAUGCGCACACAUCUGAGACGAUGAAAUGGGGCAGACAGGGUAUGCCUGUAAAUACGGCUGCUAGAGAUACAUUAUCUUUCUCUGGCUACGACACUGAGUGGGCUUUUGACUUUCUGUUUGGCCGAUCUCUUGUCGAGUCAACAAAGCUUACACACAGAAAAGAGAAAAGGCUAAGGAAGCGACACUGAAUGUGGCAGCGGAGAAGAAUGCUGGUGCUGCGGACUGCGGACUGGGGAGAAGGUGCCAUCACAAGAAGGCUUUAACAAUUAGUCACCGUUGCGCAUUGAGCGCUUACAGAGCUCACUGAAAGAAGAUGGAGAAUACAACAAGGUGAAGGAUUAGCACUCCAGUCCGCCAGUGGAGCUCUAAAUAUCUACCUGUCCAUACCUCUCGGCCAAAUCCAGCAACGAUUCUGCAAUUUUUCACAUUCUAAUUGCUCGUCAUCUCAUUAACCACAAUUCUUUUGUCUCCCCAGCCCACACCUCUAAACCCCCCCUCCCUCCUCUCCCUUGCCCGAAGAGCUGCCGGCUAAGAGGUUUUUAAUUAUGCUGCCUCCGCUAAUGACGCGCGCGGCCAAAAGAAAAAAAUUAAAAACAUUGCAAAAAUUAUUAUUAACCAAAAUACGAAUAUAUACGUAUAUAAAAAAAUGCUUGGCUAUAUAUAAAAACAAUUAUCACUGUACGCAAGUAAAUGAACUCCGCACCAGACAAAGGGAGAAUUUUUUGUUUAAACCAGCUGCUAUAAAUGCCCUCAAAAAGGUUUUCGUUUUUGCGCUGGAAAAUCUGUUCAAGUUGAUUGAUUUCAUUGAAAAUAUGCUCAAAACUGAUUAAUCUAAAAAUAAUGGCAAAACGUAGACCCGAAAGGGAUGGCAGAGGAAGCUGAUAAUAAAAAUGAUACUCUUUUAAAGAGAUAUAAAAGAUUCACAUCUUCAUUUUUCACUUCCUAUUCAAGUGCUAAUUACUCCAAAAAUUAGCCACUUUUUAAAUCUGGAAACAAUUUCACUGUCUCAUUCGCCACAAAGUGGAAGUGUUCAUCAAUUCUGAAAAUUAAAUAUUUAAAAAUAUAUACAUAAAGUAUAUUUUUACACCACGAAGACUUCCUAGUUGUAUGACAGAUGUUUUUCAAUGGUGUCAUUAAUCUUUUGGCUAUACCCGGUAUGA